rnacentral:rRNA from 1 species
AACGAACGCUGGCGGCGUGCCUAACACAUGCAAGUCUGACGGGAAAGCUUCCUUCGGGGGGCAAGUACCGUGGCGAACGGGUGAGUAACACGUGGGUAACCUACCCUCGGGACAGGGAUAACCUUGCGAAAGCGAGGCUAAUACCUGAUAAGACCACGUCCCGCAUGCGGGAUGCGGUAAAAGGUGGCCUCUUCAUGAAAGCUACCACCUGAGGAUGGGCCCGCGGCCUAUUAGCUUGUUGGUAGGGUAACGGCCUACCAAGGCGACGAUGGGUAGCCGGCCUGAGAGGGUGUACGGCCACACUGGCACUGAGACACGGGCCAGACUCCUACGGGAGGCAGCAGUGGGGAAUUUUGCGCAAUGGGGGAAACCCUGACGCAGCAACGCCGCGUGAGUGAUGAAGGCCUUCGGGUCGUAAAGCUCUUUUAGUGGGGAAGAAACGCUCCAGGGUAAAUAAUCCUGAGGUCUGACGGUACCCACAGAAAAAGUUCCGGCUAACUACGUG